CAGACAUACACAACUAAUUUACAAACCUACACAACUCAUUCACAAACCUUUUUGUGUCAAUAGGCUGUGGUCAAAUAAAGAGAGAGUCAACAAAUAGGCUAUUAAUAUUUAGUGUAUGAUUUAUUUCCUGUGAGCUUUUUUAUGCAAGUUUGUACAUUAGCAUGAAACUUACAGUGCAGUUUGCGUUUUUGGUGAAUUACCAGGUGUUUUCUUUAUUUUGUACAUUCUAAAUUGUCAAUGUUUGUUUAAUUUAACCUGAAGGGGCAUUAAAAACAAAUAAUCGCAAAAGUGCCCUCUGGUGGCGUAUAUAUGCGUUGCACCAUAAGCGAAGAUGAGCCUCGUGACGUGACAGUUUUUUUUUUCAAACUGAGGUGAGGAGUUCGGACUCCGGACCGGCAUUUCUGCUUGUUUGUACCAUGAGAUAACCAUGGUUAAUAAAUGAUCAGACACGUUACUGGCUUUAAAAUAUAAACCCCAUUGAUGCAAAAAGAUGCUGCAUGGAAUGACAAUGAGGUUUGGAACAGACUUGGUGAAGAACAUGGAAACAUCUCUAAAUAAAAUGGCCCCAAACAUCAUCAGGAGUGCAAAAGAAGGAAGUAAAAAACAUCUCUACGCCAAUCUCAUUGGAGAGAAAACCACAGAGGAACCCAAAGGUCCCACACCAACCAUAGUGUUCAACGGCUCUCCUGAUCUUCUCAAAUCUGAAAGUCGGAGAAGCGGACCGCCCCUGUCGCGGAUCACGCUCCUCCUAGUUCCACCUCGAGGGGGUCCCAAAGCACCCCAAUGACCAGACAAACCAGAGAUAAGUAAAAUAUAAAAAUAGAAACUUUAUUUAAAUUAUUUAAAACUAAAGUGGGGAAUGGGAAAGGGAAUCUAAAAAUCUCGCUUCUCGCCCUCAGGGGUAGUAUUACGGGGCCAGGGACGUUGGAGGGGUUUCCACGUGACUCCAGCUGGAACACCGCUACAGAGCGUAUCUGGGUGGGUUGGGCACACACCGUCGCGACGGCCCCUGAUGGCAUCCACAAAGGUCCAAGACCCUCCUAAGCUCCCAGCCGUAGCAGAACUACGUAUUUCAGCACCCGAACGACUAACAACCCAGCCGGCAUCUGCAGCGUAUAUCCAACGCGAUCAAACUUCACUCUGACAAGUAACUUCCUAUACACAACCACGCCGUCCUUUCGCCCGGACCAGCCCCGCACUCUUUCCGCCCGCUACCUAGCGGUCGCCGGAUCAGCAGAGCCUGCGGACUCUUC